rnacentral:piRNA from 1 species
GUGAGUUUGAGGAUAGCCUGGGU